AUUAAAGAUAUGCCAGAAUCAGUAAUUAUGUAUGUCAUUUUGUAGGUUUGUUAUGAGAGAGAUCUACUUUACUUCUGAAUAACCUGUGUCUGGUUAGGAAGACUAAGAUGGAAAGAAAUGGCUUCAUCCCAUUCAAGAUGACACAUGCAGCUCAAAAAAUGGGAACUUUGGGCUGCUUGGAAAUCAAGGUAUUUAAAAUGUGUCUUUGCAUUUCCUGCAUAACUGGAUCCUAGCUCAUUAAAGGUAAGACCUUUUUUUGCAAUCCCCUUAGGAGCAGUGCAUAGCAAGGGAAACUGCAUGGUUUGCAC
rnacentral:lncRNA from 1 species